GGGAGUGUAGCUCAGUGGUAGAGUAUUUGCCUAGCAUGCACAAGCCCCUGGGUUCAAUCCCAAGUAUCCCG
rnacentral:tRNA from 1 species